UACGAAGGGGGCUAGCGUUGCUCGGAUUGACUGGGCGUAAAGGGCGCGUAGGCGGUUCGUACAGUCAGACGUGAAAUUCCUGGGCUCAACCUGGGGGCUGCAUUUGAUACGUGUGGGCUUGAGUGCGGAAGAGGGUCGUGGAAUUCCCAGUGUAGAGGUGAAAUUCGUAGAUAUUGGGAAGAACACCGGUGGCGAAGGCGGCGACCUGGUCCGUGACUGACGCUGAGGCGCGAAAGCGUGGGGAGCAAACAGG
rnacentral:rRNA from 1 species